ensembl:lncRNA
UUUCAGGUGAAUAUUUGCACCUUGGUCACUUCAGGGCUGACCAAAAGUUAAAGCAUGUUAUUAAGAGCAUUGUUGACAUGCUUUUUAAACAGUGACAGCCAUGGGACUUUGAUAACCUCUCUAGGAAGCCUUUUCCAGUAUUUGACCACCCUCUUGGUACAAAGAUGUUUCCCAAUGCCCAGUCUGAACCUCCCCUGGCACAGCUUUAAGCCAUUCCCACAUGUCCUAUUGCUGGAUCCCAGGGAGAAGAACACCUCCCUCUUCACAUCCCCUCCUCAGGAAGCUGUAGCGAGCCAUGAGAUCGCCCCUCAGCUUCCUUUUCUCCAAACUAGACAAACCCAAAGUCUUCAGCUGCUCCUCACAGGAGGCGUCUUCCAGUCCUUUCAUCAGCUUUGUUGCCUUCCUCUGGAUGCAUUCAAGGACCUUUGCAUCCCUUUAAAAUGGUGGGGCCCAGAACUGCACACAAUACUCAAGGUAGGAUUUUAACUCUUCAGAGAUAAAGAGCUGCCUUGCUUAAGCAACCUCUCAUGUUGACAGUCACAUUUUUGCUACACAGGUGAAUACCCUCUCUUAAGUGUUAAAAACCAAUUGAUUCCAAUUGGUGCAGGCUUUCUUUUUUUCUUGGAAGAGAUUAUUGGCUGCUGUCUUGCCUAAGCUCUUAUAAAGUAACCCAAUACUCUGCCCUUCCAGAACAAAGACAGCAAAUGCCCAUUGCUAAGAGGCAGUAGUGACUCCUUAGCAAGCUGCUUCCUGUCUGCAUUGUUAUUGGGGUGACUCAGGAGCUGCUUCACAAGAUGCGGGAAAAAUUCCCCAGCUUUAUUCUGAUUGCAGCUGGGCUAUUGGACCUAUCUGGUGCCUCCAGGAAUGAACAUCAUGUCAGUGAAGUAUUAGGCCUGAGUCUUCCUGGAGAAGUCCAACCAAGAGCUGAGAGCAGCCCAGUGCCCAGCGAAGUGUUUUCCGUUACAGAAGAUAACUCUGAUAAGGUGACCUUUAAUUUCCAGAGUCCAGGAGUUGAUUCUACCAAUGAAAUGACAGCUAACUUUGUUCCUGUCCAUACAGAGAUAGCUGCAAAAAGAACAGCCAUGCUGCCUAAAGAGUUGGUUAGACACUUGCCUGCGCAACUGCACACAGAAGCACCAGCUUUAAAGCUCCAGGAUGGACACACAUCUCCUAGCAAGCUCUUGAGUAGCAUAAGCAGCCCUGUCUCCACAAAAGGAACACAGACCACCACACGUCCAGAACAGCCAGAUAGGUCACUGCAAGAAAAACCAGAAAAUACUACUGAGGCUGGUUUCAGUCCUACUAGCUCUAGCUCUGGGCUGCCCCAGCCCAUUCUCAGUGGAGGGACACAGCAAGACUCUCCUGUCUUUUCCAUUCCUGUCAGCAAGCAGAUGGAGAUGCCAAGUCCUAAAACGUCUCUUCUGACUUCAGUGGUAAACUUUCAUCCUCCAGGAAAAGAAAUAGCAGCAUCCCCAUUUCCCACCAGAAUUAAUAUUGCUUUUGAAAGUGCAAGGGUGGAUUGGUUACCAAGAGGAACUCCCCCUACUAGCAAAAGGCCAAAAGACCCAAAUCCACGAGUCCAGCCUGACAGGAAAGCUGGUGUGACAUCUGUAUACAUGAAGAAGACGCAGAAUAUGGAUGCUGAAGUUACACCUUCUGCAUUCCUACAAAAGCCAGCUUCAGGGGACCUUGAUGGAGUCUAUUCCAGAAUGAUGCAGACAACCGCUAUUCAGUUUUCCCCUGUUUUAUCUCUGAAGCAAGAAACAACAGGCAGUAAAGCCAGAAACUCGCCAACAGCUGUAAUAAAUGGUUCUGGACAUCAAACCCAGUUCCCUGCUCUUCAGACACGCCCACAAGGCAACGUACAUUCUUCUUCAUUAUUGAUGCAUCUGGAAGCUCUGGGUCAUGAUGACUUACUUCCAUCUCCAUUUCAAGGGCCCAUUAGCACAACUGAUAGAAAACAGCCCCUCUCUUUGUUCCAGACUCUCAACUGUACUAAACAGCAUGUUUCCCAAGAAACCAACAGGAGCUCUCAAGACAUCACGGUUCUCGUUUUGCAAAGAGAUACCAAUCCUCAGACAGUGACAAGUAAACCUGAAAAACCCAGAUUCCCUGGGAGCCCGCAGACUUCUGCUAAUUCAUCCUCAUUAAGCCAAUCCUGGAUUUCUAUAUUAAAACUUCCCCAAACUACUAAAGAGCUAAAAGGAGUAACAUCUGCACUCUUUCCAAGUACAUCUACCUUUGAGAAUGCAGCCAUUCAACCUGUAAGCACUUUUGAUUCUGUUCAUGCAGGGCUUCAGCCACCAGGCAGAUCUUUUCCUGCUUACACUGGAUUGCAGCUAACGGGCAUCCCCACUUCUGCUGAGAAAGGACUUCACAUACUAACUUCAUCUACAGCUACUGGUUCUGGGUCUCAGGUUCAAGGCAUUUCUUCCCCUCCUGUAUCUCAGGAGAUCUUCCCUGUAAUGCUGCAGGCGAGCACAGUAGAAGACUCCCAGAGAAAGAAAAGUCUCCCAGAACAAAUAGAUAAAACUGUUUCUCCCCCACUGACUCCACAAGCCACCCUAGUUCCCAGCCCCUCUGGACUGCACGACAAUGGAAACCAGAAAGUUCCUCUUCACAGCUUUGCCCCUUCAGCCUCCCAGAUCCAGCAAGCUGGCAGCCUGGUAGCUUUUGCUUCAGAACUGCCCUCACUCCAUGCACAGGGAAACCAAUCCAGCUCAACAACAGCACAUCCUGAACCGGUGGUGCCUGGUCUUUCUGAUGAGACCCCAGCAUAUCUGGCACAAGCACUAGUGCAGCAGUUCGGUAUCUCACAUGCUGUAGCUACCAAAAACCUCAGUGCUUUUAGAGCUGGUCAACUUGCAUCAUCCCCAUACUUGUACUUUCUGCUUAAAAAUGCUAAUGGUAUGAUAUGCCUGCAGCCCAUGCAAGAUUCUCCUCUACCUAUGAAAUUCCCAAACGCCAGCAUUGGGGGUCUGAUUUCCAUUCAGCAAAUCCUGGCAGCAUCAAAUUCUUCAGUGCUGGACCUUGCAAACCUAAAAAAUCUGAAUCCUGUCUUAAUUCUGGUUAAGCCUGUAUUUAUCCUUUUGCCCACUGACAGACCAGAUUUAGAGAUGGUGCCCCCUCCUGAGGGUGAAGAUGAUCACAAAGCUGCCCUCUCCUUCAUGAACAAGCAAGAUCUGAAUCCUGAAAGCAGCCAUGAUAUCCCAAUGAAAACUAGCUUCUCUUAUCCUACUAGUAAGUCGUUGAGGCCUGAAACUACUCUCUCCACGGCAUCUAACCAACAAGCGGAGAUAACAAAAGUAACUUCUCAGCCAGUGCUAACUAAUCCUAAUUAUACAGCCACAGCUAGUUUGUUUCAAGCUGUUACCACAGCAUCAAAUCAUUUGCUGGACCCAGGGGUGAGGAUUAGCACUACGGUGCAGGCCACGCAUCUGCACAUGCUGCCUGAAGAGAUGCAAGUACCUGUUCCCAACUCCCGAGAGGCCAAGGGGUCUGAUUUGCUUUUACUGAAUGGUACGUUAAUGCCUUUCACCUCCCCUGUGCCAUUAGUAAUGUCUGCACAGCAUAGCCCCCAUAUUUCCCACAAAGUACUUUUCACUGCUGACAAGCCACAGUCUUCUGUAAUUCCUUUACUGUCAGCAAAGGGACUCCCGGAUUUUCAAAUGCCUGCCCAACCUCCGUUUACUGUCACAGGGUCUGUAGAUCAGGUUCAGCACAGUAAGGAACUAAUACUGCAAACUACUGGCCAUCACCAGGGCUUAGUUUCCAUACCUGCCUCUGUCCACGCUCAAUGCACAGAGUGUUCGACCUUGCACUCAGCCGGAACCAUAAAAUACCCGUUAAAGUUGUUCACAAGCAUCAUGCCUUUGCAGUCCACAUCACAAAGCCUCCUAAGUACUGAGUCACUUCAAAGGCUGCCACCACAAGUUCAGUUUGUACCCAGCACAUCAUCAGCUUUCUCCACGCUUCCGGCUGGAAAUGAUGGCAAAGAUUCAGCAGCAGGCAGCACAACCUGUUCAGGAGGAGUUACAGUGUGUGCUAAAGCACCACAAACCCUCACCACUUCUGUAAGACCCGAUCUUAGUAAACAUUUGGAAUUUACACCCAUUGUUCCUAAACCCUUUACAAUGACAGAGAGACCAACAAUAGCACUCGCACAUACUCCAUUUUCAACGAAGGUUCAAAUGAAAACAGCAGUUCCUGGGGAACUUUUGGCUGCAAUUACCCAUCCAAGGGUGUAUACCAGCUCUCCUGCAAGCCCACCUUCACCUGUGUCUACACACGUUCCCCCACUAUCAGCCAUGAAACGUGACCAAAUCCAUCAAACCCCUACUAAAUUGUUCUCACAGGCCAACAUGGGAGAAAAUACAAAGCCAACUGAAAUCAGCACAAGUUCAAGAAAAAAAGGAACUGGUAAAAUCUUGGGAACAAGCAUGUCUCUGACAGCUGUGUUUAACACAAAGACACAGCAACCCCUUGGGAAUAAGGUUGUUUUAACUCCAGUACAACCAUCUGUGUCUGCAGAAACUACUAUGGCUCUUGAGAGACAGCCUAAAUUGAUACAGACCACAUCACAGUCUUCAUUAGCAAUGACUUCUCACUCUGCAGCUAAGAAUGAUUAUAUCACUACUUCACUUGCAAGCAAAAAAGCAUUUCUUCUGCCAAUAUCAACUAUCCGAUCUGACCCAAGCACGGUGCUGCCUACAACUGCCAGUGUGAACAAAUCAGCUCUGGUCUCUGCAUCAACAGAGAAGAGUGAGGACAUGCUAGUGAAAGGAGAUGCAGCCACUGCUAGCCGGAUGCCCACUCAGGCAUCCAUGUAUUCAUCGUAUCAGCCAUCAGCACAACACCCUUUGGAGAAGGUAUCACUGGAAGAUAACACUGAACAUGGGACUGGCCAUUCAAGCCCUGGCGCUGUUACACAUGCUGCUGGGCCAUCUACAUCAGAGGCAUUUUCUGUCUCUGCUAAUAGGCUUGUAAAUAAGGUCACUAAUCAGUCUGCUGUUUUGAAUAAAAUAGCAGUUAAUGAUGCUGAGAUGCUUCUAGCCAGAGAUCUAAUCCAGUCCCUUCCAAGCCCAGAAAGCCCGUAUUUCUCUCAGAGUCUGAUAGCACUUACGCCACAUGGGAAUUCCUUGCUGAGUGUUGCCAGCACUGGACAAUCAGAGAGGCUGUUCUUGAACACAGAGACAGAAGAGAUGGUUAGAACAGACAAAGUAACAGAAGAAGCAGCUGAAGGCUUAGUAACCGUUCUAACACUGCUGGAUUCAGAGCCCAGCGCACUACUGAGUGAAUCACAUCAGAGGAGGGUUUUGCAGUCAGAUGCGACCAUUCUGAAUGGCCUUGCAGUUGUGAGUGAUGAUGUCUGCGGCUCCGGUAACUACACUGUGCAGAUGAGCCUGCGUCCUGCUGCAGAAGCAGGCCCUGUGGCCGAAGGGUCAACACCUUCCCAGGAGACAUUCCUGGCUUUAAUCGCUGUGCAGAGCAACAACAGCCAACCUGAGCUGCAGGUCCAGUCGUGCUGUGUGACACCCUCCGCCAGCCCAGGGGGACCAGGUGCCAUGUGCUGCCUGUUCCGCAGGUUGCCAUUUGAAUGCAGACACAUCCAGUUACUGCAAAGCAGUAAGUCCAGAGCUGCUAGCUUCACCAUCCAGCUGUUCCAGAUGCUGAAUCACUCAGUGGCCUAUUUGCACUGUGAGCUGAAUGUCUGCCUACGUGGCAAAACAGGAUGUGAACAGGACUGCUUUGAAAGUGUGGAGCCACUUCUCCAGCCAAGUGACAGGAACAGUUAUGGAAACCUGCACAACCUGAUCUCAUUUGGUCCAGUUUUCAGAAUGAAGAACAAGUUUCUAUAUAAACCUGUGGAAAGUCCAGAUUCUGCCAUGCUGGUACCCAUUCUGCUGGGAUCCCUUACUGGCUUUGCUGUCUUGGGCACUGCAUUCACAAGCCUCUGGCUGCAUCAUAGACAGAAAACCAAAAACACAUGCUAUCCACAACUUGGAGAAAUUCAUGGCCUGUGAACUACGAGCAGCUGAGUGGUUCCUGCAGAUCCCACCCGACUGCUACAAUGAUCAGAAAAGCAAUUGAUUUUGCUUUGCUCGUUGUAUUGCUUUUGUAGAGCUUCUGCUGACCCAGGGAGCAAGAUAUUCAAUCUCUGCUUUGAGCACGCCCCUCCUUCCUUUCUUUCCUUCUGCAUGAGCGAGUCCCCAAACUGCAGAGUAGAGAAAGCAUUGUAGUAGUGGUCUAGCUAUGAGGGAGAGCAGAGCUUAAUGCAGUAUGUGCAAGCACCAGCAUGCAGUCUGUUCCCAGAAACAGGAAAGCAGACAGGAAAUAAGGGUACAGAAGAGCCACAUAAAAUAAAGCACUGUAGACUAGAGCCA